rnacentral:sRNA from 1 species
AUUGUCAACGGUAAAUCGGACUGAACGAAGCGCAGCGAAGUGAGGGAGAAUUUAAGGAGUUGACAAUUUUGCUACA